rnacentral:rRNA from 1 species
UACGAAGGGGGCUAGCGUUGUUCGGAAUUACUGGGCGUAAAGGGCUCGUAGGUGGUCAACUAAGUCGGACGUGAAAUCCCUCGGCUUAACCGGGGAACUGCGUCCGAUACUGGAUGACUUGAGUUCGGGAGAGGGAUGCGGAAUUCCAGGUGUAGCGGUGAAAUGCGUAGAUAUCUGGAGGAACACCGGUGGCGAAGGCGGCAUCCUGGACCGACACUGACGCUGAGGAGCGAAAGCCAGGGGAGCAAAGCGGG